rnacentral:sRNA from 1 species
GUCAGAGAAUAAUAUAAAUCAUCAGAGUCUUAUUGACAUAGCAAUUACGAGUUCGAAUCUUAUCACCAUCAUUCUAUCUGAU